rnacentral:misc_RNA from 1 species
CAGGUCAUCGGUAACGAUCAGGGCGUCCCGAUCAAGGACGAUAACGGCGAUCCGCGCGUCGACCCGCUGUCCGGUGAGCCGUUGUGGAUUAUGCCUCCGGGCUUCAAGCGGGCCAAGGCUGACCGCGUCUCGAAGCAUAUGAGCUACCAGCUCCUCAACGAGAUGGAGGAGUGGGAGGAAGACACCGACGUUCUCCUGCACCAUCUGCCGAUUGUUGGCUGUGCCUUCCGCAAGGUUUGGCGCUCCGAGACGCUGG